AGAGGCGCAUGUGCCAUUUCUGCACACUCGGUAUAGAUGCGCGCACACGUCAGUAGAGGCGCGUGUGCCUUU
ensembl:miRNA